GCCGGGUGUGGUGGCACACACCUGUAAUCCCAGUUGCUCAGGAGGCUGAAGUAGGAGGAUUUCAAGUUCAAGGCCAGCCUCAGCAAUGUAGCAAGGGCCUGUGGAAGUUAGUAAGACCCUGUCUCUA
rnacentral:sRNA from 1 species